UACGAAGGGGGCUAGCGUUGUUCGGAAUCACUGGGCGUAAAGGGCGCGUAGGCGGCUUUGUAAGUCGGGGGGGGAAAGCCUGUGGCUCAACCACAGAAUUGCCUUCGAUACUGCAUGGCUUGAGACCGGAAGAGGUUAGUGGAACUGCGAGUGUAGAGGUGAAAUUCGUAGAUAUUCGCAAGAACACCAGUGGCGAAGGCGGCUGACUGGUCCGGAUCUGACGCUGAGGCGCGAAAGCGUGGGGAGCAAACAGG
rnacentral:rRNA from 1 species